CCUACGGGGGGCAGCAGUGAGGAAUAUUGGUCAAUGGCCGCAGGGCUGAACCAGCCAAGUAGCGUGAAGGAUGACUGCCCUAUGGGUUGUAAACUUCUUUUAUAUGGGAAUAAAAUGUUCCACGUGUGGGAUUUUGUAUGUACCAUAUGAAUAAGGAUCGGCUAACUCCGUGCCAGCAGCCGCGGUAAUACGGAGGAUCCGAGCGUUAUCCGGAUUUAUUGGGUUUAAAGGGAGCGUAGGUGGAUUGUUAAGUCAGUUGUGAAAGUUUGCGGCUCAACCGUAAAAUUGCAGUUGAAACUGGCAGUCGUGAGUACAGUAGAGGUGGGCGGAAGUCGUGGUGUAGCGGUGAAAUGCUUAGAUAUCACGAAGAACUCCGAUUGCGAAGGCAGUUCACUGGACUGCAACUGACACUGAGGCUCGAAAGUGUGGGUAUCAAACAGGAUUAGAUACCCGGGUAGUC
rnacentral:rRNA from 1 species